rnacentral:rRNA from 1 species
ACGGCUCAGUAACACGUGGCUAACCCACCCUUGAGACGGAGAAAACCCCGGGAAACUGGGGUUAAUCUCCGAUAAGAGAAGACCCCUGGAAUGGGUCUUCUCUCAAAGGGCGCCUAGACCAUGCUUCUAGGCGUUGCUCAAGGACGGGGCCGCGGCCGAUCAGGUUGUUGGUGAGGCAACGGCUCACCAAGCCUAUAACCGGUACGGGCCGUGAGAGCGGGAGCCCGGAGAUGGGCACUGAGACAAGGGCCCAGGCCCUACGGGGCGCAGCAGUUGCGAAAACUCCGCAAUGCACGAAAGUGUGACGGGGCUACCCCGAGUGCCGUCCGCUGAGGGCGGCUUUUCCCCGGUGUAAGGAGCCGGGGGAAUAGGGAGAGGGCAAGUCUGGUGUCAGCCGCCGCGGUAAUACCAGCUCUCCGAGUGGUAGGGAUGAUUAUUGGGCUUAAAGCGUCCGUAGCCGGCCCGGCAAGUCUUCCGUUAAAUCCAACGAUUCAAUCGUUGGACUGCAGGAGAUACUGUUGGGCUAGGGGGCGGGAGAGGCCGACGGUAUUCUCGGGGUAGGGGUAAAAUCCUAUAAUCCCGGGAGGACCACCAGUGGCGAAGGCGGUCGGCUAGAACGCGCUCGACGGUGAGGGACGAAAGCUGGGGGAGCGAACCGGAUUAGAUACCCGGGUAGUCCCAGCUGUAAACGAUGCGGGCUAGGUGUUGGGGCGGCUACGGGCCGCUUCAGUGCCGCAGGGAAACCAUUAAGCCCGCCGCCUGGGGAGUACGGCCGCAAGGCUGAAACUUAAAGGAAUUGGCGGGGGAG